AUGGCGCCCCACCCCAUCAGGCUCCGGACGGCGCGCCUCGCCGGGCGGCACAUUGCCUUGUGGGCAGUGUUGAAAUGGGCCUCCGGCGAGCCGGGGACAACAGGCCCCUCGAAGGGCACCAUGAGCCAGCGCAGGAGCGGGUACCCGUUCCCAUCCGCGACCAGGAAUGGGAUCAUACCACCAUCAUUCGCUCGCCCGGUGGCCCUCCGGUCUCCCCCGUCCUCUCACCUCACCACUUGGAGGGUUGGAAAGGUUGCUACAGGGCUCCACCGGGCACGGGAGCCAAUCGGGACAGGAAGGGAUUUGUCAAAGCUCCACUAG
rnacentral:rRNA from 1 species